UCAACGGAGAGUUUGAUCCUGGCUCAGGACGAACGCUGGCGGCGUGCUUAACACAUGCAAGUCGAGCGGAGCUUAAAGAGCUUGCUUUUUAAGCUUAGUGGCGAACGGGUGAGUAACGCGUGAGUAACCUGCCCUAGAGUGGGGGACAACAGUUGGAAACGACUGCUAAUACCGCAUAAGCCCACGGUACCGCAUGAUACUGAGGGAAAAGGAUUUAUUCGCUUUAGGAUGGAC
rnacentral:rRNA from 1 species